rnacentral:rRNA from 1 species
GACGAACGCUGGCGGCGUGCUUAACACAUGCAAGUCGAACGGAAAGGCCCUGCGUUUGUGGGGUGCUCGAGUGGCGAACGGGUGAGUAACACGUGAGUAAACUGCACUUGACUUUGGGAGAACAUCAGGAAACUGGGGCUAAUACCGGAUAGGAGCUCCUGCUGCAUGGUGGGGGUUGGAAAGUUUCGGCGGUUGGGGAUGGACUCGCGGCUUAUCAGCUGGAUGGUGGGGUAGUGGAUUACCAAGGCUUUGACGGGUAGCCGGCCUGAGAGGGUGACCGGCCACAUUGGUCCUGCGAUACGCCCCAGACUCCUACGGGAGGCAGCAGUGGAGAAUCUUGCACAAUGGGCCGAAGCCUGAUGCAGCAACGCCCCGUGCGGGAUGACGUCCUUCUGGUUGUAAACCUCUUUCUCCUGUGACGAAGCGUGAGUGACGGUACUGGGUAAAGAAGCACCGGCUAACUACGUG